rnacentral:rRNA from 1 species
UUUCCUACGAAAAAGAAACAGUGGGGAAUAUUGCACAAUGSGCGCAAGCCUGAUGCAGCCAUGCCGCGUGUAUGAAGAAGGCCUUCGGGUUGUAAAGUACUUUCAGCGGGGAGGAAGGGAGUAAAGUUAAUACCUUUGGUCAUUGACGUUACCGGCAGAAGAAGCACCGGCUAACUCCGUGCCAGCAGCCGCGGUAAUACGGAGGGUGCAAGCGUUAAUCGGAAUUACUGGGCGUAAAGCGCACGCAGGCGGUUUGUUAAGUCAGAUGUGAAAUCCCCGGGCUCAACCUGGGAACUGCAUCUGAUACUGGCAAGCUUGAGUCUCGUAGAGGGGGGUAGAAUUCCAGGUGUAGCGGUGAAAUGCGUAGAGAUCUGGAGGAAUACCGGUGGCGAAGGCGGCCCCCUGGACCAAGACUGACGCUCAUGUGCGAAAGCCUGGGGAGCAAACAGGAUUAGAUACCCUUUGUAGUCCAA